AGCAGCCGCGGUAAUUCCAGCUCCAAUAGCGUAUAUUAAAGUUGUUGCAGUUAAAAAGCCCGUAGUUGAAUUUUGGGUCUGGCCGGGCGGUCCGCCCUCUGGGUGAGCACUGUUCCGACGCCGGGCCUAUCCUUCUGGUGAGUCGGCAUGUCCUUUAUUAGGUGUGCCGGGGAACCAGGACCAUUACCUUGAAAAAAUUAGAGUGUUCAAAGCAGGCGUAUGCUCGGAUACAUUAGCAUGGAAUAAUGAAAUAGGACGCGUGGUGCUAUUUUGUUGGUUUCUAGAACCGCCGUAAUGAUUAAUAGGGAUAGUUGGGGGCAUUAGUAUUCAAUUGUCAGAGGUGAAAUUCUUGGAUUUAUUGAAGACUAACUUCUGCGAAAGCAUUUGCCAAGGAUGUUUUCAUUAAUCAAGAACGAAAGUUAGGGGAUCGAAGACGAUCAGAUACCGUCGUAGUCCUUAACCAUAAACUAUGCCGACUAGGAAUCCGGGNGACUGUUAUUCUUCAUGACUUCGCCCGGCG
rnacentral:rRNA from 1 species